rnacentral:lncRNA from 10 species
AUCGGAUUGUUGCAAGGCUCACAAUAAACUUGCAAAAUUCUGUGUACUGCCAUACAAAAUUUCUCUCCAUUCUUGCCUAUUUCCAACUUCCCUAGCCCAUCACAUUUCUACCACUGUGACCGAGCUGCAGUCUCCGACGUCACCACCAACCACAGCGAGGCGAACCAACCAGAGCCAGGCCAGCCACGGUGGCACAGGUUCCAGCCUCCAGCAUGUGGCAGUGCCUCUUCCUUCUCCUAGUCCUCCAGCCCAGCAGGAGAAGCUCCCGCUGCCGGGCGCUCUCCUACUGCUCUGUCGCCACCACCAACCACAGCGAAACAGUGUCCCACGCUCCAGGGCUCCAGACUCCAUCCAUCCUCCAGCUUCAAGCAGGAGAAAGGUUGCGGCCUCUUCCAGUUCUCUAAGCCGGUCACGGGGUAGCUCUUCCUCUAGAC